AUAAGUCUUAACCCUGUGGCAAUGAUAGAAGUAUUUGUGUUCUUGAAAAAAAAAAAAAAGCAUAGUUCUAGCCGAUUAGGGCAUGAAACAAAUAGCUCGAACUCUAAUAAUCUUUCAUCUUUUCAUUUUUUUGGAAAUUGUUGUUUGGCCAACAUGCAUUCUUUGGGGUUCAAAUAGGUGUUCUAUGAGCAGGGUUUUGAAGAUGAUUUAUAGAUUGAUCUGCAUGAAGCAUGAUCAAAGGCCUAGAAAGUCACAAAGCCUCAAAGAGAGGACUGCCAUCUUUUGUAUGUAGCGUUGUUGAAACCCUGCCAUACUGAUUUAAUACAGUCUCUGUCCUUUAUGGUAACUGUUACUUCUGCUACAAACCCUUGGUUGUUCAUUAAAUUGAUGACAUGCACUAUCAUUAAUACAAGGUGAUAAUUGUCAUAUAUUAGAUUGCUAUUUUGUACCUUUCAUUGUCUCUGUCUCAUGACUAUGUGGGACUGAUUUGGUAGUGGACUGCAUUGUCAUCUUUAUUAGCAUUGUCUCCUUAUUGAUUAUUGCCCUUGUUUUUCAAGAAAUUUCAUGUUUUUGUGUCAUAGACAUGUCAUUGUGAUCUUCUAUUUGACUAAAUUCAGACUCCAUGUAUCAUUUUCUAUGGAUGAUAAUGAUGUCAUAAUCAUGAAGCUCUAAUAGUUAAGCCAUUAUGGAUAUUCAUCUCAUAAUUGUCUUUUGAUUUAUCUAACCUUUUUGAGUAAUUGGGUCUGAAUAUUUCUCUAUUAUUAUGUAUCACUGAGCUUUGAAUGACUGUAUAAUGAUGUUGCACUAUGACUGCGAUUAAUUAUUGAGGACUGCAUUAAUUGGUUUGGCAACCUCUAUGAUAGACAUGAAUCAAGGUGAUAACAUGAAGCAUUCUCUGUCAUAAAACUUCACUCCUUAAUCAUUUUUGUCUCUUGAGAGAGUCUUCCUACUGUGGUCAAGCCUUCUUGGACUGAUUUUAGUCUUAUAGACUUGUAUCAUUAAUGGUCUUCAAAGGCCUCUCAAAUACUUAACACUGUUGUAUUGUGGAUCUUUCUCAUUACCCUAGCAUGCUUAUGAGUUGUGCAUCAUGGUUAUUUAUGUUAUUGAAGACUAUGUUUUAGUUCAUCUCAUAUCAUGGCUUGAUUACCCUUGAGGCCUGCAAUAUGGACCUUCUUGUGAUGCUUUUCUGAUACUAUUUAAACUAUCAUCUAUGCAUGAUUGUAUUUAUGCUAUCCAUUACUUACUUCAUUGGGCACAUUCCUGAUAUUGUUUAAUUCUAUCACUACAUUCUUUGAGGGAUUGAAUACACCCUUUACCUCCAAUCCAUUGCUCUCUUUUUUAUAUCUAUUGGCAUUGUCUUCAAAACCAAGACUCUUCUCAUCGAUUAUGACUGUCUAAUUUGAAUGCUGCUAUGUAUUGAUCGUUGAUGGUUGUAGCUAUUCCUAACCUUGACUUUUCAAUAUAAUUUAUCUUCCUUAAUCAUGAAUUGGCUCAUGGAUCAUCUGUCCCUUGUUGAAGGAAUGUACUGUUAUGCGUUCUUCUACUAGCAUCUUGUGCUAUGCAUCUCCACAUUAUUAUAGUCUCUACCAAAAUAGUCAUGAGACUUGUCCUUGAACCUAUCCUCACCUUGUUUAAUGUAUCAAGAGUGAGACUAAUCUUUUAACACUAUUUUAGACUUGGCUAUCUCAUAGCCUUGGCAUAUUGGUCCCCAUUUUCCAUUGGUUCUAUGUUUGCUAUUGUUCCUAAGGAUAGUGAUCUUUUCCAUAAGCUAUAACUGUUUAUAUGUUGUCUCAGACUUACUACUCAUUGUACUUUCAUAUGGUGUCCUUUUUCAUGAAGAAGAUGCCUUGGCUGCACUACUAACUUAGCUUUAUUUAUCAUUUGUGAUAUGCCCUUUGCUAUCACCUCAAUCUAUGAAAGGUUGAAAUAUUACUGAAUAAAACUAUGACAAUAAACCUUAUUGCACUUAA